CCCUUAGAUGUUCUGGGCCGCACGCGCGCUACACUGACUGGUGCAACAAGUGUCGCUCCUUGGCCGAUAGGCCUGGGCAAUCUUUGAACGCCAGUCGUGAUGGGGAUAGAUUCUUGCAAUUUUUGAUCUUCAACGAGGAAUUCCUAGUAAACGCGAGUCAUCAACUCGCAUUGAUUACGUCCCUGCCCUUUGUACACACCGCCCGUCGCACCUACCGAUUGAAUGGUCCGGUGAACCCUCCAGAUCGGCCCGCGCCAACGCAAGUUGAGCAAAGGCCGAGAAGUUGGGUAAACCUUACCAUUUAGAGGAAGGUGAAGUCGUAACA
rnacentral:rRNA from 1 species